UACGUAGGUGGCAAGCGUUGUCCGGAUUUAUUGGGUUUAAAGGGUGCGUAGGCGGCCCUGUAAGUCAGUGGUGAAAUACUCUAGCUUAACUAGAGGGGUGCCAAUGAUACUGCAGGGCUUGAGUACAGAUGAGGUAGGCGGAAUUGACGGUGUAGCGGUGAAAUGCAUAGAUAUCGUCAAGAACACCUAUAGCGAAGGCAGCUUACUGGGCUGUAACUGACGCUGAGGCACGAAAGUGUGGGGAUCGAACAGG
rnacentral:rRNA from 1 species